rnacentral:rRNA from 1 species
CCUAUGGGUUGUAAACUGCUUUUAUCCGGGAAUAAACCACAUUACGUGUAGUGUGCUGAAUGUACCGGAAGAAUAAGGAUCGGCUAACUCCGUGCCAGCAGCCGCGGUAAUACGGAGGAUCCAAGCGUUAUCCGGAUUUAUUGGGUUUAAAGGGUGCGUAGGCGGCCUGUUAAGUCAGGGGUGAAAGACGGUAGCUCAACUAUCGCAGUGCCCUUGAUACUGAUGGGCUUGAAUGGACUAGAGGUAGGCGGAAUGAGACAAGUAGCGGUGAAAUGCAUAGAUAUGU